AGCAGCCGCGGUAAUUCCAGCUCCAAUAGCGUAUAUUAAAGUUGUUGCAGUUAAAAAGCUCGUAGUUGAAUUUCGGGGUUCUACCGUUGGUCGGGCUUUGUCUGUACUGGCGUGUAGAAUUUCUACCUUCUGGGGAACCAUCAUGUUAUUAAUUUAGCGUGGUAGGAAACCAGGACCUUUACCUUGAAAAAAUUAGAGUGUUCAAAGCAGGCUUAUGUCUGAAUACAUUAGCAUGGAAUAAUAAAAUAGGACGGUGGUCCUGUUUUGUUGGUUUCUGAAUCACCGUAAUGAUUAAUAGGGAUAGUUGGGGGCAUUAGUAUUCAAUUGUCAGAGGUGAAAUUCUUGGAUUUAUUGAAGACUAACUACUGCGAAAGCAUUUGCCAAGGAUGUUUUCAUUAAUCAAGAACGAAAGUUAGGGGAUCGAAGACGAUCAGAUACCGUCGUAGUCUUAACCAUAAACUAUGCCGACUAGGGAUCGGAUGAUGUUAAUUUUUUAAUGACUCU
rnacentral:rRNA from 1 species